rnacentral:rRNA from 1 species
GUGAACGCUGGCGGUAGGCCUAACACAUGCAAGUCGAACGGCAGCACAGUAAGAGCUUGCUCUUACGGGUGGCGAGUGGCGGACGGGUGAGGAAUACAUCGGAAUCUACUUUUUCGUGGGGGAUAACGUAGGGAAACUUACGCUAAUACCGCAUACGACCUACGGGUGAAAGCAGGGGAUCUUCGGACCUUGCGCGAUUGAAUGAGCCGAUGUCGGAUUAGCUAGUUGGCGGGGUAAAGGCCCACCAAGGCGACGAUCCGUAGCUGGUCUGAGAGGAUGAUCAGCCACACUGGAACUGAGACACGGUCCAGACUCCUACGGGAGGCAGCAGUGGGGAAUAUUGGACAAUGGGCGCAAGCCUGAUCCAGCCAUACCGCGUGGGUGAAGAAGGCCUUCGGGUUGUAAAGCCCUUUUGUUGGGAAAGAAAAGCAGCAGGUUAAUACCCCGCUGUUCUGACGGUACCCAAAGAAUAAGCACCGGCUAACUUCGUGC